UACGGGGGGGGCAAGCGUUGUUCGGAAUUACUGGGCGUAAAGGGCUCGUAGGUGGCCAACUAAGUCGGACGUGAAAUCCCUCAGCUUAACUGGGGAACUGCGUCCGAUACUGGAUGGCUCGAGUUUGGGAGAGGGAUGCGGAAUUCCAGGUGUAGCGGUGAAAUGCGUAGAUAUCAGGAGGAACACCGGUGGCGAAGGCGGCUUGCUGGGCCAGUUCUGACGCUGAGGAGCGAAAGCGUGGGGAGCGAACAGG
rnacentral:rRNA from 1 species